rnacentral:piRNA from 1 species
UGUCAGGUUUCGACAAGUGUUUCAGCUGUGU